UUUAUUUAUUUUGUUAAGAGAUUCGAGAUUGUAUUUCUAACCUAACAAGUUUAAAAUUUUGAAUUGUUGUGUUAUCAUACAAAUGUUGUAAAAGAUGAUGAACCUCAGUUCAAGUGAUGAAGAUUUGGAAGAGAUUGUAGGACUUUUAAAUGUUCCAAAAAAUGCAAAUUUUUUUGAGGAAACUGUGCAACAAUUUAAUAACCAACAAUUUAUACAGAAUUUUAGAUUAAGUAGAGACUUAGCUGUAGAUUUGGCAAAUAAGUAUGAAAGAUCUCAUUUCCACAAUAUUAUGUAAAAUUACUUUUCCUGUU
rnacentral:lncRNA from 1 species